CGGGGCGAGCCGGGAUGGGAUGCUGGCUCCACACUAGGCCUCGGCCGCCAACCACCAGUAGUGGUGCUCUGAGGCGCCUCGGCUCUGCCUCCAGUUAUGUGGUGCGAGCCGGGAUCGCGUCAGCGCUGCGAGCCGGGUGAAAGUUCAGCCUCUGGGCUGGGUGACGUCAGCGAAGGGGGCGGGACGCCUCGCUAGUUCUCGGCCGAGGGGAAAGUCCGGGCUGUUUCAGUGGAAGCCAGGAAUGGGAGGCUCCUUAGCCUCCCCUUGGGCCACAGCCUUGUGAAUCCAGCCUUCCCCAGACCUCCCUGAGGCAAGGGGUGUUUGGGCCUUUCCUGCUAAGGGGUGGCCCCACACAGGCUUUGGGUUUUUUUCUCCCCCUGUAGUGUUUGGUUGAUAUAGAGCCAUCAUCGUGCAGUUUUCUGUCCAGAUAGAAAGAGCAGACUUGUUUUGUUGUUGUUGUUUUGGGGGGUGGGAUUUCUUUGGCUUUGUACUGUUUUUAAUUUUUCUGGCUGUGCCUGCCUCUUCCGGGGUACUAGCCAGUCUGGAAACCCACAGCCAGGUCUAGUAGCCCUCUUUGCCACCUUAUUUUAUAUUAUAUCUAAAACUAAGCAUUCUGGGUGUUCUCGGUUCUGGGGACGGUACAGUCACUCCAUUUUCCCAGAAGCACAGGGCCCUAACGCUGCUUUUUUUCAUACGUCAUCAUAACAGAAAGGAUGUGUACAGGCUUGCUAGGCCUUUUCUACUGUAUGGAAAGCCAUAAGUGAAUAGGAAGGCAUCUUAGAAAAUCAGUUACUUAUUUUUGUUUUGUUUUUUAAAACUUGAAAAGAUACAUCCCUGCCAACAAUUUUCUGUUUCCCUUCUUUCAAGAUGAUGUAAGGAAAGAACCAUGGCUUCAGAGAAAGGACAAUAAAGACGGCUCUGGGAGUUUGUGUGUUUUUGCUAAGGUGUGAUUAGGAUAAGGAUGUGCACAUAUUUAAAAUAUAUGAUUACUGAAAAAAAUACAACAUGAUUACAUACAACACACACAUACCACUACAGGAUUGCCACAAUCAAAACUGAACAAAUCUAUCACCCUCAAAAUUUCCUAGUGCUUCUAUGAAACUCCUCUUCAGUCUUCCCUACGUAACCUUCACCUCAGGCAACCAGGGCUCAGGCUCUUGCUAUGUAGCCCAAGCUGGCCUCCAACUCACCAUCGUCAGGCUUCAGCCUCCAGGGUGUUGUGAUUACAGGUCAGAGGUUAACAUCGAGUGUUUCUCAAUCGGUCUCCACCUUACAUUGUAAGACAUGAUGUGUCACUGAACCUGGAGCUCACAGAUUCGAUUAGACUGGGUAGCCAUCAAGCCACAGAGAUCCUCCCAUCUCUGCCUCCCCAGCAAUGGUAUUACAGGAAUUUAACACCAUGCUCAGGUGUGUGUGCCUGAGUUGCAAGUGCCCACUGAGUCCAGAAGAAGGUGUUGGAUCCCCUGGAACUGGAGUUACAUGUGUUUGUGAGCCACCUGAUAUAGUUCUGAGAACUAGACUCAGGUCCUCUGCAAGAGCAGCAAGCGCUCUUAAAUGCUAAGCCAUUUCUCCAGCCCAUUUUAUGUGUUUUGGACCCUGAAAUACAUCAUAAUGACUUUUGUUUAGAUAUCCAACUAUCUUUUUAAGAUAGUUACACAAAUAAAAGAUAUUUUGAAAAUUCUUAUGGGGCUCAGCUGUGGCUCAGUGGUAAAACACUUGACUAGCAUACACAAAGCCAUGGGUUUCAU
ensembl:lncRNA